CACGUGGGUAAUCUGCCCUCGGCACCGGAAUAGCCCGGGGAAACUCGGAUUAAUGCCGGAUGGCCCAACAGCUUUUCGGGGCGGUUGGGAAAGGUAGCUUAGGCCUCCGGCCGAGGAGGAGCCCGCGGCGGAUUAGCUUGUUGGUGAGAGUAACGGCCCACCAAGGCGACGAUCCGUAGCUGGUCUGAGAGGACGAUCAGCCACACUGGGACUGAGACACGGCCCAGACUCCUACGGGAGGCAGCAGUGGGGAAUCUUGCGCAAUGGGCGAAAGCCUGACGCAGCGACGCCGCGUGGGGG
rnacentral:rRNA from 1 species